UGGAAUUGAAUUGCCCUGGCUGUUUCCAGGGAGACUGAAAAUGGAGGCCCCAGAAGCUUGUUUGUCAAGCCAUUUUCUGGACACCCUGGGUCACGUAAUGCUAUGCUGCGAGUGUCGCGCCUGAUCAGUCUCUGAGACUACUGGCCGAUUUGGAUUCUCAGACAUGGAUUCUAGAAUGACUGCUGGUGCCACGAAUCCCCAAAUAGAAAUUCUUCCUCCUACCCCCAUGACCAUACUAUUCUGCCUCAAACUGAGGCCAGAACCAUGGAGACAAGUGGCCACCAGUUGAAUCUUCUGGAACCGAGAGCCAAAGUAAACGAGUGUUCCCAGAAGCUGUCAAUCUUAGUUUCCAGUUCUGGGCCAAGAAUCCGUAACUUGUUCUGAAAUUUACUGAACGUAUUCGUCAUUGCUACUUUCAAGCCUGAACACUGGCCAUCUCUGAGUCACCAUGGACUUGUUGUUGUUGUCUAAUUUCCUCUUGGUUUCUACUUCUGACCUUCAUUUUUGAGCAACUCAAUGGGAUAUGGAAAGCCCAGGAUGUUAACCUAUGCUGGGGAAAGGCCUGGGGUUCACCUAGUUCAAUUUCAAGCCUUUGUUCUUGGGUUUGAAACAUCUUGGCUCUUGUUCAUGAAUCAGUUCCAGAACACACAGCUCUAAAUUGAUGCCUUCCUCCUGCUGCUCUUCAAGAAGGGGAAGGAAGUGACCUGAACCAGUCUGGACUUGCACAGCUUGAAGUUGACCCUUGCCUAUCAUAUUUGUUGUUUGUGUGUUCUCUUUCUAUUCUUUCUCACUGUUAGGGAGAGGAGUGUCUAGUGCCAGCCCAUUUCUGGGAUGCUCUUUUCCUGAACCCUGUGUAGUGAUAUCCUCCAAAUUAAAACAUUUUCAUUCAGAAGAGGAAACUCCUAAGACUUAGAGUUUUAGGAAGCAAACCAACUCACAAGUCUCAGGAAGUCUCUGAAACUCACUAAAUUCAUAAGAUCAUUCUUCUCUAAAGUUAUAGAAGGAGUGAGAAUAGAUAAAGAAGGAAGACACCAUCUGAGGUGUGGGACUUCCUGCAAGUCAUGCAGAGAGCCCUAGCCUUACAGCUUUCAUGAGUCAGCAACCACGCUGGGGAGGAUGUUUUGAUGGUGCCUCUGCCUUUAAGUUAGCCAUACUCCUGGAAGUAACUCCUCACCCAUAUUCAUAUUAGUAACUCCAGUAAAACACAUUGGGUUUCCCAAAUGUAUUUUGGUGGUACUAACAUUGAUCUGCCAUCAGUGACUUAUCUGGGGUGAGUAGAUAUUGCUCACAUCUCCCCAGGAAGUUACACAGCAUUGGGUCACAGCACUUCCUGGACCCUGUGUGGCAUCCAGCAUGCAGGCUGUGACACAUACUCCUUGGCAGCCUAAGGCCACCUCCUCCACCUCACCCAGAGCCAUGCAGCACUCUGCCCAGCUUAAACUUUGCUGCGUGUUUUGCAAAUCAGCAUCUUCUUCCAAUAAAAAAAAAGCCAUGGCAAGGUUUUGGCUUUCCUUCCUGAGCUGGCCUUUUAAUCUUGAGCCUUGGCUUCUCAUGCCCCUACUAGCCUAGCUGCUCUAAGAUGUCUGCCUGUUAGAGUAGGUGUGUCACUGUAGGUGUGGGCUUUAAGACCCUCAUCCUAGCUGUCUGGAGGUCAGUAUUCUGCUAGCAGCCUUCAGAUGAAGAUGCAGAACUCUCAGCUCUGCCUGCACCAUGACUGCCUGGAUGCUGCCAUGUUCCCAACUUGAUGGUAAUGGGCUGAUCCUCUGAGCCUGUAAACCAGCCCUAAUUAAAUCUUGUCCUUAUGAGAGUUGCCUUGGUCAUGGUGUCUGUUCUCAGCAGUAAAAUCCUAACUGAGACAUGGUGUCUGCCAUGUUCCCACCUUGAUGAUAAUGGACUGAACCUCUGAAUCUGUAAUCCAGCCCCAAUUAAAUGUUGUCCUAAUGAG